AUUGAACGCUGGCGGCAGGCCUAACACAUGCAAGUCGAGCGCGCGGCGGACGGGUGAGUAAUGUAUGGGGAUCUGCCCGAUAGAGGGGGAUAACUACUGGACACGGUGGCUAAUACCGCAUACUAUCGGCUGAACCCAUAGUGGAUUAGCUCGUAGGUGGGGUAAAGGCGCACCUCGGCGACGAUCUCUAGCUGGUCUGAGAGGAUGUUCAGCCACACUGGGACUGAGACACGGCCCAGACUCAUAGGGGAGGCAGCAGGGGGGAAUAGUGCACAAUGUGCGCAAGCCUGAUGCAGCCAUGCCGCUGGUAUGAAGAAGGCUGUAGGGUUGUAAAGUACUUUCAGCGGGGAGGCGUUACCCGCAGAAGAAGCACCGGCUAACUCCGUGCCAGCAGCCGCGGUAAUUC
rnacentral:rRNA from 1 species